UGUCCAGGGAUGGGAAUCGAACCCACAGUAUUCCGCUUAUCGAGCAGAUGCCAUGUCCACUAGGCAGAUAUAAGAU